rnacentral:lncRNA from 10 species
AUCCAAAGAAACUUUAUUUUUAUCCACAGAAGGUUGGAUUUUCUUCACUUUUCCAAAGAGAACCUAAAAAAAAAAAAGCCAAAAAAAAAGUACGUAAAAAUAUACCAAAACGUUUCUAAACUGUCACAUUUCAAACAUAAAAGGCUAACAUUGCUUUGUUUUUCUGAGACAGGGUCUCACUCUGUUCAGUCCAGGCUGGAGUUGCAGGCUCGACCUCUCAGGCUGAAGCGAUCCUCCCACCUCGGCCCCGUUGAGUAGCUGGGACUACAGCUUGGAACAGGCAUAAAGACAGACAUCUAAGACCAAUAAAAUAGGAAGAAGAGUUCCAAGAUAAGCCUUCACAUAUAUGGUGAAAUGAUGUUCCACAAGGGUGCCAAGACCAUUCAGUGGGAGAAAGCACAGUCUGCAACAAAUAGUGCCAGGAAAACUGGAUAUCCAUGUGCAAAAGAAUGAAGUUGGAUUCUUACUUUAAACCAUGUAAAAAAAUUAACUGCAAAUGGGUCAAAGAUUAAAGAUAAGAGUUAAAACUAUCAAACUGUUAGAAAACAAAAAACAUAAAGAAAAAGCCUAAUGUGAAGGUAUUGGGAGGUGGGGCCUUCAGAAGCUGAUUAGGUAUGAAAGGUGGUGCCUUCAUGAAGGUACCCUUACAAACAGACUGUGAAGACCUCCUUUGUAGCUUCCACCAUGUGAAGAUGCAGCGAAAAGACAGCUGUCUGUGGACCAGGAAGCAGUCCCUCACCAGCUACCAAAUCUGCCAGCACCUUGAUCUUGGAUUCCCCAGCCUCCAGAACUGUGACAAAGAAAUUUCUGUUGUCUAUAAGUUACCCAGUUUAUGGUAUUUUGUUACAGCAGCCUGAAUGCACCAAGACAGAGGAUUUUUAGAAGAUCUCCUAUAGGUUAGUUUGAACUGAUCUUUAGUCAGCAAGAGCAUAAUCUGUAUGGUAAGAUGGAAAAGGCCCAUACCAAAAAAAAUAUGUAGUAUAAUGACUUAGAUGUCAACCUUGCACAAAAUGACUGUCAACAGUGAGCCACG